AAGGUCAAAGAGUGUCAGUAACCACACACUCUCAGGAAGUGGUAUGAUUGAAAAUCAAAUCCACUGCUACCUUUUCAAGUCUGGAAGAGGAAACCUCAUUAAGAUCACACUGCAGUACAGUAAGGUUUCCCCUCCUGGGGAUCACCACCUUUAUGGCAAACAUCUGGGUGAUGACCAGCGAAGCAACUGCCCAUCACAGCAGCAAUAUAAAAUUUGAUCCACAUUCGACUCAUAUUCCAGUUUGUGAGCUGCAGUGAUCACCCGUUGAAGCAGCUGUACUUGGUCUUAAAAUCCCUACUCACACCAGAUGAGGUGGCUGAGCAGAUACAGGAUGAUGAAGCAGGGUUGCAGCGGUAUAAUAGUUUGCAACAGCACUGAGUUGAGCUGUCAGAAAGUCAUACAAAUUCUAUCAAAUAUCUGGAAAGACGAAGUGGAAGCCUGCCAAGACAUAACCUGUCUAGGGCUUGGAGAAUUCAAAUGAUUUGGUUUUACAAACCUGCAUAGCCACUACACAGGUUUUUGUGAAUUUCACCAAAACUGGAAAUAAAUGAUUUUUUCAUUGCCUUCACCCAUGUGGAAGAAACAUUCUAUAUCACGGGAAAUGUUCUUUGAGAAUGCAGCACUGAUGGGGCCUGUAUUAAAAAUGUGCUUUAAAUCAAAUGGGAGAGCAAAAAAGAAUGAAAUACAGACUGUAAAGAAAGCAGGUGUCAUUUGAUGUGAUCUAGUUCAAACUUGUAGUUGUCUCACCCUUGUACAAAGAUUUAGCAGAAGCCUUCAGGAUUAAUACAAAACAAAAUGCUGAGAUAUUUUUAUUGUCUUAAUAAUCUUCUUUCUGAGUGAUGGUUGAGACCCUCAGAAUACAUAAACCAAAAUAUUUAUACUGUAUUCAUGCCUGCUAUAUAGCUAUCUAAUUACUAUUUUUACACAGCUUUGGUGACUAUGAGUAAAAGUUGACUAAAACCAAUACUGUUUUGUUGAUGUUGUGUUUGAUUUUGCUGU
rnacentral:lncRNA from 13 species